GGUUGACCUCGGAUCAGGUAGGGAUACCCGCUGAACUUAAGCAUAUCAAUAAGCGGAGGAAAAGAAACCAACCGGGAUUGCCUCAGUAACGGCGAGUGAAGCGGCAAGAGCUCAAAUUUGAAAGCUGGCUCCUUCGGGGUCCGCAUUGUAAUUUGCAGAGGAUGCUUCGGGUGCGGCCCCUGUCUAAGUGCCCUGGAACGGGCUGUCAGAGAGGGUGAGAAUCCCGUCU
rnacentral:rRNA from 1 species